ensembl:lncRNA
GAGUUACCUACAGGAGGGUCUCUCUCCAGGAACAGGGUUGGAGUUAAAACCUACAGGAGGGUCUCUCUCCAGGAACAGGGUUGGAGUUAAAACCUACUGGAGGGUCUCUCUCCAGGAACAGGGUUGGAGUUACCAACAGGAGGGUCUCUCUCCAGGAACAGGUUUGGAGUUACCUACAGGAGGGUCUCUCUCCAGGUACAGGGUUGGAGUUACCUACAGGAGGGUCUCUCUCCAGGAACAGGGUUGGAGUUAAAACCUACAGGAGGGUCUCUCUCCAGGAACAGGGUUGGAGUUAAAACCUACAGGAGGGUCUCUCUCCAGGAACAGGGUUGGAGUUAAAACCUACAGGAGGGUUUCUCUCCAGGAACAGGGUUGGAGUUACCUACAGGAGGGUCUCUCUCCAGGAACAGGGUUGGAGUUACCUACAGGAGGGUCUCUCUCCAGGAACAGGGUUGGAGUUACCUACAGGAGGGUCUCUCUUCAGGAACAGGGUUGGAGUUACCUACAGGAGGGUGUCUCUCCAGGAACAGGGUUGGAGUUACCUACAGGAGGGUCUCUCUCCAGGAACUGGGUUGGAGUUAAAACCUACAGGAGGGUCUCUCUCCAGGAACAGGGUUGGAGUUACCUACAGGAGGGUCUCUCUCCAGGAACAGGGUUGGAGUUAAAACCUACAGGAGGGUCUCUCUCCAGGAACAGGGUUGGAGUUACCUACAGGAG